rnacentral:rRNA from 1 species
AGUGAACGCUGGCGGUAGGCCUAACACAUGCAAGUCGAACGGCAGCACAGUAAGAGCUUGCUCUUACGGGUGGCGAGUGGCGGACGGGUGAGGAAUACAUCGGAAUCUACUUUUUCGUGGGGGAUAACGUAGGGAAACUUACGCUAAUACCGCAUACGACCUACGGGUGAAAGCAGGGGAUCUUCGGACCUUGCGCGAUUGAAUGAGCCGAUGUCGGAUUAGCUAGUUGGCGGGGUAAAGGCCCACCAAGGCGACGAUCCGUAGCUGGUCUGAGAGGAUGAUCAGCCACACUGGAACUGAGACACGGUCCAGACUCCUACGGGAGGCAGCAGUGGGGAAUAUUGGACAAUGGGCGCAAGCCUGAUCCAGCCAUACUGCGUGGGUGAAGAAGGCCUUCGGGUUGUAAAGCCCUUUUGUUGGGAAAGAAAAGCAGCGGGUUAAUACCCCGCUGUUCUGACGGUACCCAAAGAAUAAGCACCGGCUAACUUCGUG